GACGAACGCUGGCGGCGUGCUUAACACAUGCAAGUCGAACGGUGACCCAGGGCUUGCCCUGGUGAUCAGUGGCGAACGGGUGAGUAACACGUGGGCAACCUGCCCCUGACUCCGGGAUAACUCCUCGAAAGAGGAGCUAAUACCGGAUACGACCACUUCGGACAUCCGAUGGUGGUGGAAAGUUUUUCGGUCAGGGAUGGGCCCGCGGCCUAUCAGCUAGUUGGUGGGGUAAUGGCCUACCAAGGCGACGACGGGUAGCCGGCCUGAGAGGGCGACCGGCCACACUGGGACUGAGACACGGCCCAGACUCCUACGGGAGGCAGCAGUGGGGAAUAUUGCGCAAUGGGCGAAAGCCUGACGCAGCGACGCCGCGUGAGGGAUGAAGGCCUCGGGUUGUAACCUCUUUCAGCAGGGACGAAGCGAAAGUGACGGUACCUGCAGAAGAAGACACCGGCUAACUACGUGCCAGCAGCCGCGGUAA
rnacentral:rRNA from 1 species